UUGCAGAAUCCAAUGAAAAUUACCACUGCGACAGCUCCAUGUUGAAGGUAUCCUGGAUAGCAUGGCAAAGUUCUCUGGCGUCCCAGCUUAUGGAUAGAUUAUGUGAACGUGAAUAUCCAGAAGAUUUGAUUCAGCACUCCUAGCAAAAAGCCGUGCCUUAAAUCAAGAACAUAUUUUAAGAAAAAAGAAAAGGGCGGAAAAUCAGAGAGGACAAGAGGAUGAGGAUCUACUGACAAAGUGAGAACCUAUGAUGUCCCGGUGUCAGACUCUGCAGAGAAGAUGGAGCUGGAAGACAUCCUGACGUCUGGACCAGAUGGAGAAGGAAAGAAAAGACAACAGAGAAGACGUCACUCAGCAUAUCGGUAGGUGUAUAUCCUGACCGAUCCCGGGAAAGCACCCCUACAAUCAUACGUUGAUACUGUGGUUGUGUCCGACACACAACCCACCAAGGUGAGCAUAUUGGAAUUAUUUGGUUAUUCAGCCUAUCCAUAUUGUGCACAGACGGUACUGUCCUAUGAGGAGCUCUGCCUUUUUGUCUCUAUAGAUUGCAUGCAAUACGUAAACAGCGUCACUAUGAUAUACAUGUAGACUGUCACAUUAUAAUAUAUGGCCAACUGGCCAAUAUAGUGUCAGACACCACAGGACACUACAUUUGGUGCCAAAACCGAGGCUAAACAUACUUUUUCAACUGGCCAAUAUAGUGCUCAGGAAUUAUUCUGCAGCACUACUCAUGUGACACUUUUUUGCUUGAAUGUUCUUAAUUUUGGGGAUGUCAGGGUCACUUAUAGUUCCUUACAUCAAUUGAUACUUUAAAAGGGAUCAAGUCCUGCAGGAACGCAUGGGAAUGGAGUUCCUACACUUUUUCCACAGUAGGAAUACUGUUCCCAUUGGCAUGAGUCCUGCAGGACCAGCCCUUGAGUGGACCUCUUGGAUGAGUUCCCACACUUUUUUCCCAUGGCUUGAAGGCUGUACUUUAAUACAUACAAAUAAAAAUAAUAAUUUAAUUUAUUAAAUUACAACAAUCUAAAACUACCACAAUGUCUGUCACAUAGUUUCUUAAAACUUUACUUGGAGAUUUUGUCUUUUACAUUUUCUGCUUCA